GACGGAGGGUGCAAGCGUUGCUCGGAAUCACUGGGCGUAAAGGGUGCGUAGGCGGUCUCGCAAGUCUGGCGUGAAAGCCCAAGGCUCAGCCUUGGAAGUGCGCUCGAAACGACGAGGCUGGAGUGCCGGAGGGGAGAGUGGAAUUCCCGGUGUAGCGGUGAAAUGCGUAGAGAUCGGGAGGAAUACCGGUGGCGAAAGCGACUCUCUGGACGGCAACUGACGCUGAGGCACGAAAGCGUGGGGAGCAAACAGGG
rnacentral:rRNA from 1 species